rnacentral:rRNA from 1 species
GAUUAUGGCUCAGGAUGAACGCUAGCUACAGGCUUAACACAUGCAAGUCGAGGGGCAGCAUGAAGUUGCUUGCAAACUUGAUGGCGACCGGCGCACGGGUGAGUAACGCGUAUCCAACCUGGCCCGCAGUAGGGAACAGCCCGGCGAAAGUCGGAUUAAUGCCCUAUGUCUUCCUUUGCAGGCAUCCAAUGAGGAAGAAAGAUUUAUCGCUGCGGGAUGGGGAUGCGUCUGAUUAGCUUGUCGGCGGGGUAACGGCCCACCGAGCCGACGAUCGGUAGGGUUCUGAGAGGAAGGUCCCCCACACUGGAACUGAGACACGGUCCAGACUCCUACGGGAGGCAGCAGUGAGGAAUAUUGGUCAAUGGUCGAGAGACUGAACCAGCCAAGUAGCCGUGAAGGAUGACUGCCCUAUGGGUUGUAAACUUCUUUUGUUCGGGAAUAAAGUGCGGGACGCGUCCCGCUUUGUAUGUACCGUACGAAUAAGCAUCGGCUAAUUCCGUGCCAGCCGCCGC